rnacentral:lncRNA from 1 species
UACUUCCUCCCAAACCCCUUUAAAAGCAGGACUAAAUCGGUGGAGAGAAACAUGUGCCCGUUUGGUAUCCUUCUCAAAGUGUCUACUCUUAAGCUCCAUGGUUGCCAACUGCCCAUGGCAAUACCUACGUCCACUCGCAUGGAACUUAAACACAGAGGCGUUAUCAGAAAUAGCCGGAGAUUCCGUUGAUUUCUCCUCCUCCAACAAUCCCUCGAAAUCAUCUUCAUCCCACUAAUCGAAAGAGAUCGACGAAGGUUUCACGGUCUGAGUUGUUAGAUCCAGAUAUGCUUGCCGCCAAUGAUGAUGCCGUUUAGGUCUGCUUCUCCGUCUCUUAUGUGCGUUUGCUCGAUUUGCUUUAGUACUUUGUUUGUAUAUUUCUGAAUGUUUUUGGAGAUUGAAAGAGAUGGAGAUAGCUGUUGUGCCGAGAUGCAAAAAAUGGGAGCUAUUGAAG